AUUCUACUCCCUCUGUUGCACAAUACAUGGCUUCUAUUUGUCAAAAUAUAUAUGCAUCUAGACAUGUUUUAGUAUAUAGGUACAUCCAUUUUUGGACAAAUGGAAGUCAAGUAUUUUGGAACGGAGGGAGUACACA
rfam:Triticum aestivum genome assembly, contig: Triticum_aestivum_CS42_TGACv1_scaffold_037757_1BL